rnacentral:tRNA from 1 species
GAUGAAUAGCUGAGUGGUUAAAGCAGGUGGCCAAGCGCCAUCAUCCGCGGGUUCGAAUCCCGCUUCAAACG